rnacentral:rRNA from 1 species
GUCAAAUGGCCAUUCCUUCAACAGGCCUUACGUAUGAAGGGUUUUGAUGAGGCUUGGCGACGCCAGGUAGAAUCCUUCACACAAAAAGGAAGUGUUGGAAUUAAAGUAAAUGAUGAUAUAGGGCAUUAUUUCCAGACACACAAAGGCCUGAGGCAAGGAGAUCCAAUGUCCCCUAUUUUGUUCAACAUUGUGGUUGACAUGUUGGCAAUUCUCAUAGGUAGGGCAAAGGAGGCCGGUCAGGUGGGUGCCUUGGUGCCAAACCUAGUUGAUGGGGGUGUGUCCAUUCUGCAGUACGCUGAUGAUACAAUCAUCUUUAUGGAGCAUGACCUGGCAAAAGCGAGAAAUAUGAAGCUGGUGUUAUGCUUAUUUGAACAAUUGACCGGGUUAAAGAUUAACUUUCAUAAAAGCGAGUUGUUCUGCUUUGGUAGAGCCAAGGAGGAACAAGAGGCUUAUAGGCAAUUGUUUGGAUGUGAAUUAGGGGCUAUACCUUUUACUUACUUAGGUAUACCCAUUCACCAUCGUAAGCUAACGAACAAAGAGUGGAAAUGCAUUGAAGAUCGGUUUGAAAAGAAACUU